CUCCGUCUUGAUUGAAUAAAGCAAAGGUGAACAGGUGGUAGAGAACAAGUGUGACGCCAGAAAAAAAACACACAUUGGAGCAGUAGGAAGAAAAUUAAAAGAUGAUUAAUCCUUACAAAUAUCAUCUUCUAGAUAAAACCGUAAGAUUGAAAAUAAUAAACAAUUAAAGCCGUGAAAUUACAAUUACCGGGUAAGAUACUUCUGGUCAUAUGUGCCAUACAAAACAUCAUAGUGUCCAUCAUAGGAAUCUAAGAGCUCCAAGUCCCCUGUCAA
rnacentral:lncRNA from 1 species